rnacentral:rRNA from 1 species
GGGUGAGUAACGCGUGAGGAACCUGCCUUGAAGAGGGGGACAACAGUUGGAAACGACUGCUAAUACCGCAUGAAGCAUAGGGGUCGCAUGAUUCUUAUGCCAAAGAUUUAUCGCUUCAAGAUGGCCUCGCGUCUGAUUAGCUAGUUGGCGGGGUAACGGCCCACCAAGGCGACGAUCAGUAGCCGGACUGAGAGGUUGAACGGCCACAUUGGGACUGAGAUACGGCCCAGACUCCUACGGGAGGCAGCAGUGGGGAAUAUUGGGCAAUGGGCGCAAGCCUGACCCAGCAACGCCGCGUGAAGGAAGAAGGCUUUCGGGUUGUAAACUUCUUUUAAGAGGGAAGAGCAGAAGACGGUACCUCUAGAAUAAGCCACGGCUAACUACGUGCCAGCAGCCGCGGUAAUGCGUAGGUGGCAAGCGUUGUCCGGAUUUACUGGGUGUAAAGGGCGUGCAGCCGGGUCUGCAAGUCAGAUGUGAAAUCCAUGGGCUCAACCCAUGAACUGCAUUUGAAACUGUAGAUCUUGAGUGUCGGAGGGGCAAUCGGAAUUCCUAGUGUAGCGGUGAAAUGCGUAGAUAUUAGGAGGAACACCAGUGGCGAAGGCGGAUUGCUGGACGAUAACUGACGGUGAGGCGCGAAAGUGUGGGGAGCAAACAGGAUUAGAUACCCUGGUAGUCCACACUGUAAACGAUGAAUACUAGGUGUGCGGGGACU